rnacentral:rRNA from 1 species
AAACUGGAGAGUUUGAUCCUGGCUCAGAACAAACGCUGGCGGCGUGCCUAACACAUGCAAGUCGUACGAGAAAGUCCGCUUCGGU